CAUUAAAAAAAAGUCACUUGUGAAGAUGUUAACAUUGCCACUCUGAGGAGGCAGGUCCUGUUUUUCUUCAGUUUCCUACAUUUAGUUCCAUUGUCUACUGUUCCUCAGUUGAUAAAAGAAUCAUUUAUGUUGUUAGCAUUGAUCAAAGUUCAUAUAGCAAAAUAACACAGUAACUGAAAGAUAAAGUUGCCAUGAUGUUCACUCAUUCAUGAAAUCUUAUCUCUUGCCAUGUUCAUUGUCUUGAGUAAAUUUAAGGUGUUUAACAUCUGUAAUAUGUUUAAGUUUCUGACUGUAAUGUAGUAAGAUAAAGUAUAUCUAGGUUUGAACUUCUCUGCAAAGGUAAAGGAUCUCUAUUAAACAUCCAUUUGAAUCCUGUUAAAUAGUUUUAGAACAUAAUCUGCUAAAAAUUCUGAAGCUCCUUUCCAAUACCUGCUUCUCCUGUUCAGUUACUUAAGAUAGAAUAUAGGCAUUUAGGCAUUGCACAGAGUCCUUUGGAGAGGGUGAGGUGCUGGGAGAAUUUAAUUAUAGGCAGAUGCAUUAGUUUCCUGUUCCUGCUGUUUUUUAAAAAAAAAAAAAAGCCACAAACUUAGUGGUUUAAAUAAACAUAAAUUUAUCAUCGUAAAGUUCUGGAGGUCAGAGUGAGCUGAGGCGAGCCUGCAGGACUGUUUUCCCUCUGCAGACUGUAGGGGAGGAUGUGCUUCCUUGCCUCCUCCACUGGUAAAGCCCACCCACGUUUCUCAGCUCAUGGCCCCUUCCUCUGUCUUCAGAGUAUGUCAUUCCAGCCUCUACUUCUGUGGUCCCAUCUCCUCCUUCUGACUUUGAUGAUUUUGUUACUGAUAAUGAAGCUGAAGAACAAAAUGAGGAUUAUAAAACUUGCUCAAAAUUAGAGGUGACUCAGUUAUAAAGCAGGGGCAAGAACUUAGGUAUUCUGCCUCCACUUCAUUUUAUGCACUGUUGCUGCCUUCUUAAUAGAGUGCUAAGAAAGAAAUGCAAAUUAAGUGAUGAAUGACUUAAGGUCAACUCAGGAGAAAAUAUGCACUGUGCAUUACUGUUUCCUUCAAGAUCGCCAUUUUAUGAGAAUAUGUCUGACUGAACGCAGCCAUCUUUUUUAUAACUGUUAACCACUCCUUCUCUGACACCCCUAGAUGUCUGUGUUUUGGAGCUCUUCCCUCUAGGAACUCUUAGAUGUAUUUUACAGUCAUGUCCCAUUCACCUAACAAAUCAUAGCAGCACAGAAUGUAGCAAAGAAUCAGGGAGUUGGCAAAAAAGACCUAGUCGAAAUCAUACUGUAUCCGAGAAUUGGGUACUAUGCCCUUUACCCUCCUGCCUUUUUCCACCAAGACGUCCAACUCGCAGUUUGUUCUGGUAUAUUUCUGUCUUUCUAAACUUUGUACAUAAGAAAGAGCGAAUCAGAAAACAGUAGUUUGGAAUUCUUCUACAGAGAUAUAAACUGAUGGUAGUACUUCACAGGUGAUUGUCUCACAGUGAGGGAGAAGAGACAAUAU